rnacentral:rRNA from 1 species
CGUACGCUUCUUUUUCACCGGAGCUUGCUCCACCGGAAAAAGAAGAGUGGCGAACGGGUGAGUAACACGUGGGUAACCUGCCCAUCAGAAGGGGAUAACACUUGGAAACAGGUGCUAAUACCGUAUAACAAUCGAAACCGCAUGGUUUUGAUUUGAAAGGCGCUUUCGGGUGUCGCUGAUGGAUGGACCCGCGGUGCAUUAGCUAGUUGGUGAGGUAACGGCUCACCAAGGCCACGAUGCAUAGCCGACCUGAGAGGGUGAUCGGCCACAUUGGGACUGAGACACGGCCCAAACUCCUACGGGAGGCAGCAGUAGGGAAUCUUCGGCAAUGGACGAAAGUCUGACCGAGCAACGCCGCGUGAGUGAAGAAGGUUUUCGGAUCGUAAAACUCUGUUGUUAGAGAAGAACAAGGAUGAGAGUAACUGUUCAUCCCUUGACGGUAUCUAACCAGAAAGCCACGGCUAACUACGUGCCAGCAGCCGCGGUAAUACGUAGGUGGCAAGCGUUGUCCGGAUUUAUUGGGCGUAAAGCGAGCGCAGGCGGUUUCUUAAGUCUGAUGUGAAAGCCCCCGGCUCAACCGGGGAGGGUCAUUGGAAACUGGGAGACUUGAGUGCAGAAGAGGAGAGUGGAAUUCCAUGUGUAGCGGUGAAAUGCGUAGAUAUAUGGAGGAACACCAGUGGCGAAGGCGGCUCUCUGGUCUGUAACUGACGCUGAGGCUCGAAAGCGUGGGGAGCAAACAGGAUUAGAUACCCUGGUAGUCCACGCCGUAAACGAUGAGUGCUAAGUGUUGGAGGGUUUCCGCCCUUCAGUGCUGCAGCUAACGCAUUAAGCACUCCGCCUGGGGAGUACGACCGCAAGGUUGAAACUCAAAGGAAUUGACGGGGGCCCGCACAAGCGGUGGAGCAUGUGGUUUAAUUCGAAGCAACGCGAAGAACCUUACCAGGUCUUGACAUCCUUUGACCACUCUAGAGAUAGAGCUUCCCCUUCGGGGGCAAAGUGACAGGUGGUGCAUGGUUGUCGUCAGCUCGUGUCGUGAGAUGUUGGGUUAAGUCCCGCAACGAGCGCAACCCUUAUUGUUAGUUGCCAUCAUUCAGUUGGGCACUCUAGCAAGACUGCCGGUGACAAACCGGAGGAAGGUGGGGAUGACGUCAAAUCAUCAUGCCCCUUAUGACCUGGGCUACACACGUGCUACAAUGGGAAGUACAACGAGUCGCGAAGUCGCGAGGCUAAGCUAAUCUCUUAAAGCUUCUCUCAGUUCGGAUUGUAGGCUGCAACUCGCCUACAUGAAGCCGGAAUCGCUAGUAAUCGCGGAUCAGCACGCCGCGGUGAAUACGUUCCCGGGCCUUGUACACACCGCCCGUCACACCACGAGAGUUUGUAACACCCGAAGUCGGUG